ensembl:lncRNA
GUCAUAAUCGACCUAACAGAAGGAUAAUGUUAGGCUCAUGGAAUUCAGACAAAGAGAUGAAUGAUGCCUGGGGAGUUGAGAGAUGCCAUGGAAGAAAUGGUAAUUGAACUGGGUUUUGAAAAGGAGUAGAAAUUUGGAAGAUGAGAAGAGGGAGGAAGAAAAAGAACUGAAGACAAAGGAACAAAUGGGCAAAAGCGCAAAGGGUAAUGACACUCCUCUCUUGCAGUUUCUGUAGGAUUGACUGGGGUGAAGUGAACUGAAACGACUUAGCAGCAGCAGCAGACCGAAAAAAUGGAGGGACAUCUCAGAAAAGAGAGGAGAAAGAAGGCAGGGGUUCUAAGACCAAGGCUUUAUGACCAAGGUUAAUGAAUAAACGGAGAGAGUGAAACAGAGUCUGCAAAGGAGGCUGAUAGAGGUCACUCCGGGUAAAAGGAGCAGGAACAACAGGGUUCAUGUCACAUAAGCUGAGGAAGGGCAAGUUAGGAACUGGGCCAACUAUGUGGUCUCUAAUGAGGGGUCAAUAAAGGAAGAACACCCCCAGAGCCAUUUCCAGCGGUCAGCAGCAUCCUCCUCAGAGGUUUCUAUGGUAACGGCUAUGGCCUCUCUGGGCUGGCUCUCUGGUGGCAGCCCGCAAUUUCAAAAACAUUUCUUCUUCCCUCCAGGUCCCCAUUGCCCUCUAUAUCCCCCGCCACACCAGGUCCGCAGGUCACGCAGAUCCCAGUGAGGGGGAGCAGGAGGGCGUGGGGCUCUACUGGGGGCCACUCCACAGACCACGCCGCUCUCCCAGGACAGCCCUGCCAACCCCCAAGCCUUCUGAUGGUUAUGGUUCCAGCAGGAGAGCCCUGCUGUCAUGAAGGGCAACUGCCUGUCAGCCUGGGGUGAGCCUCCAGGAGGAAUUCAGUAAAGCUGGGAUGAAGCAAAACAGAGGCUUCCUGUGUCACUCUUGCAGCUGCGAUUGGUCUGGAAACUACCUGCUGGUGUCAUUCUCCCAGGAGAUGACCUUAAAAGACUCAGACCUCAAAUAUUUAAUGACAAACAAGUACGAUUGUCAAGAUAAAGUCCUAUGAUACUGGGUCAUUCACAAACGCACUGGUAAGCAGUGAGGGCCACACUAAACUCUGC